CACCUUGAAGUAUUGGUUUACGUACGAUAACCGAAGUUAAGCAACGUCAAGCCUGGUCAGUAUUUACAUGGGUGACCGCCUGGGAAUACCAGGUGGU